rnacentral:rRNA from 1 species
GACGAACGCUGGCGGCGUGCUUAACACAUGCAAGUCGAACGGAGAGCCCCUGCGGUGGUGGGGUGCGCAGAUCGCGAACGGGUGAGGAACACGUGCGUAACCUGCCCUUGACUUUGGUAUAACUUCAGGAAACUAAUACUAAUUCCGGACCGCUUCUCCUGCGGCUGGGUGUGGGUUGGAAUGUCUCGGCGGCUGGGGAUGGACGCGCGGCUUAUCAGCUUGUGGGUGGGGGAGUGGCAUACCAAGGCGUUGAAGGCGAGCCGGCCUGAGAGGGUGACCGGCCACACUGGGACUGAGACACGGCCCAGACUCCUACGGGAGGCAGCAGUGGGGAAUAUUGCGCAAUGGGCGGAAGCCUGACGCAGCGACGCCGCGUGGGGGAUGACGGCCUUCGGGUUGUAAACCGCUUUCGGCAGGGACGAAGCGCGAGCGACGGUACCUGCAGAAGAAGCACCGGCCAACUACGUG